AUGAUGCUGUGCGGAACUCCAUAUCUGAAUAUCAACUCUCUGAUGAAAGUGAUGGUUGUACUUGAGUCGAGGUUCUUAAUGGGUUUAGCUUCAAUCCAUUUAGUGAACUUGUCGACUGCCACGAGCAGAUGGGUGAAGCCACUUCUACUAGUCCUCAAUGGCCCAACCAUGUCGAGUCCCCCAAACAGCAAAUGGCCAGACGAGUGGGAUAGUCUUCAAGGCAGAUGCAGGUUUGUGAGACAUGUUCGAGUAAAACUGACAUCCUUCGCACUUCUCCACUAUCUCCUUAGCCAUUUCGUUUGCUCGCGGCCAAUAGAAUCCCGCUCGGUAUGCUUUGGCCACGAUGGUCCGAGAGGACGCAUGGUGACCACAGGUCCCUGA
rnacentral:rRNA from 1 species